GAAAAGGCAAAAGGCAAGCGUUCUUCUGGGUGGUCUGAGCGUGGUCCUAGGAAGGACGCUGUUUGUGAAGGUAAAAUCUCUAAUUGGGGAGAGAAGGGCCAGCUGGUGAGCUGUUGAGAUCAGGUGAAGACCUGAAUCGCAGAAGCACAGCACGGUCAGAGCCCGCUGCGCCGGCAGCAAGGCCAGAAGGUGCACGAAGAAGGUAAAGAAAUGCCUGGUGAGGGGACAGCAUGUAUGUUUGUGUGGAGGGUGAUGAAUAAAGAAAAGUAAAC
rnacentral:lncRNA from 1 species